ensembl:snoRNA SNORD83A small nucleolar RNA U83B
AUGAGUGUGUGAUGAGAACACGGAAUAGAGCGUCAGGCGUGGCGCCUGACAACACAUGAAGAGAUCUUCCAUGCUGCCUUCCUUCUGAUUACUCCU